UACGUAGGGGCAAGCGUUGUCCGGAUUUAUUGGGCGUAAAGAGCUCGUAGGCGGCUCGGUAAGUCGGAUGUGAAACCUCCAGGCUCAACCUGGAGACGCCAUCUGAUACUGCCGUGGCUUGAGUCCGGUAGAGGAGCAGGGAAUUCCUGGUGUAGCGGUGAAAUGCGCAGAUAUCAGGAGGAACACCAGCGGCGAAGGCGCUGCUCUGGGCCGGUACUGACGCUGAGGAGCGAAAGCGUGGGGAGCGAACAGG
rnacentral:rRNA from 1 species